GCCGAGAUGGCACAACCUGGUACUGCGCAGGAUUGCUAAUCCUGUUUCCGAAAGGAUUUCCGGGUUCAAAUCCCGGUCUCGGCG
rnacentral:tRNA from 2 species